AACGAACGCUGGCGGCAGGCUUAACACAUGCAAGUCGAGCGCCCCGCAAGGGGAGCGGCAGACGGGUGAGUAACGCGUGGGAAUCUGCCCAUCUCUACGGAAUAACGCAUGGAAACGUGUGCUAAUACCGUAUACGUCCUUCGGGAGAAAGAUUUAUCGGAGAUGGAUGAGCCCGCGUUGGAUUAGCUAGUUGGUGGGGUAAAGGCCUACCAAGGCGACGAUCCAUAGCUGGUCUGAGAGGAUGAUCAGCCACACUGGGACUGAGACACGGCCCAGACUCCUACGGGAGGCAGCAGUGGGGAAUAUUGGACAAUGGGCGCAAGCCUGAUCCGGCCAUGCCGCGUGAGUGAUGAAGGCCCUAGGGUUGUAAAGCUCUUUCACCGGUGAAGAUAAUGACGGUAACCGGAGAAGAAGCCCCGGCUAACUUCGUGCCAGCCGCCGCGGUAAAAC
rnacentral:rRNA from 1 species